rnacentral:rRNA from 1 species
CAGCAGCCACGGUAAUACGUAGGCGGCAAGCGUUGUCCGGAAUUAUUGGGCGUAAAGGGCUCGCAGGCGGUUUCUUAAGUCUGAUGUGAAAGCCCCCGGCUCAACCGGGGAGGGUCAUUGGAAACUGGGAAACUUGAGUGCAGAAGAGGAGAGUGGAAUUCCACGUGUAGCGGUGAAAUGCGUAGAGAUGUGGAGGAACACCAGUGGCGAAGGCGACUCUCUGGUCUGUAACUGACGCUGAGGAGCGAAAGCGUGGGGAGCGAACAGGAUUAGAUACCCGCGUAGUCCCUGUCUCUUAUAC